rnacentral:rRNA from 1 species
GCCCGCUCAGAAACUCAAAGGAAUUGACGGGGCCCGCACAAGCGGUGGAGCAUGUGGUUAAUUCGAAGCAACGCGAAGAACCUUACCAGGCCUUGACAUGCAGAGAACUUUCCAGAGAUGGAUUGGUGCCUUCGGGAACUCUGACACAGGUGCUGCAUCGGCUGUCGUCAGCUCGUGUCGUGAGAUGUUGGGUUAAGUCCCGUAACGAGCGCAACCCUUGUCCUUAGUUACCAGCACGUUAUGGUGGGCACUCUAAGGAGACUGCCGGUGACAAACCGGAGGAAGGUGGGGAUGACGUCAAGUCAUCAUGGCCCUUACGGCCUGGGCUACACACGUGCUACAAUGGUCGGUACAAAGGGUUGCCAAGCCGCGAGGUGGAGCUAAUCCCAUAAAACCGAUCGUAGUCCGGAUCGCAGUCUGCAACUCGACUGCGUGAAGUCGGAAUCGCUAGUAAUCGUGAAUCAGAAUGUCACGGUGAAUACGUUCCCGGGCCUU